UAGUCCACGCCGUAAACGAUGAAAACUUGCUGUCAGAUAUGUAAAUAUAUUUGGUGGCGUAGCUAACGCGUUAAGUUUUCCGCCUGGGGAGUACGAUCGCAAGGUUAAAACUCAAAGGAAUUGACGGGGGCCCGCACAAGCGGUGGAGCAUGUGGUUUAAUUCGAUGCUACGCGAAAGAACCUUACCUACUUUUGAUCUCCAUAACUAAAUAGAGAUAUUUGGGUGCCUUCGGGGAAUUGGAUGACAGGUGUUGCAUGGCUGUCGUCAGCUCGUGUUGUGAGAUGUUGGGUUAAGUCCCGUAACGAGCGCAACCCUCAUCCUUAGUUACUAACAAGUUAUGUUGAGCACUUUAAGGAAACUGCCGGCGAUAAUCCGGAGGAAGGUGGGGAUGACGUCAAGUCAUUAUGGCCUUUAUAAGUAGGGCUACACACGUGCUACAAUGGUUGAUACAAAGGGUCGCGAAACUGUGAAGUGGAGCAAAUCUUCUAAAGUCAAUCGUAGUCCGGAUUGGAGUCUGCAACUCGACU
rnacentral:rRNA from 1 species